AGCGAACGCUGGCGGCAGGCUUAACACAUGCAAGUCGAGCGGGCAUAGCAAUAUGUCAGCGGCAGACGGGUGAGUAACGCGUGGGAACGUACCUUUUGGUUCGGAACAACUGAGGGAAACUUCAGCUAAUACCGGAUAAGCCCUUACGGUGAAAGAUUUAUCGCCGAAAGAUCGGCCCGCGUCUGAUUAGCUAGUUGGUGAGGUAAUGGCUCACCAAGGCGACGAUCAGUAGCUGGUCUGAGAGGAUGAUCAGCCACAUUGGGACUGAGACACGGCCCAAACUCAGACGGGAGGCAGCGGAGGGGAAUAUUGGACAAUGGGCGCAAACCUGAUCCAGCCGUGCCGCGUGAGUGAUGAAGGCCCUAGGGUUGUAAAGCUCUUUUGUACGGGAAGAGAAUGACGGCACCGCAAGAAUAAGCCCCGGCUAACUUCGUG
rnacentral:rRNA from 1 species